rnacentral:antisense_RNA from 1 species
GUGGGAGGGGGCUUGCCCCCGAUAGCGGUGGAUCAGUUACAGAUAGAUCAACUGACCGUCCUCAUCGGGGGCAAGCCCCCUCCCAC